rnacentral:rRNA from 1 species
GUGGGGAAUAUUGGGCAAUGGGCGCAAGCCUGACCCAGCAACGCCGCGUGAAGGAAGAAGGCCCUCGGGUUGUAAACUUCUUUUAUUCGGGACGAAACAAAUGACGGUACCGAAUGAAUAAGCCACGGCUAACUACGUGCCAGCAGCCGCGGUAAUACGUAGGUGGCAAGCGUUAUCCGGAUUUACUGGGUGUAAAGGGCGUGUAGGCGGGAGAGCAAGUCAGACGUGAAAUUCCAGGGCUCAACCCUGGAACUGCGUUUGAAACUGUUCUUCUUGAGUGAUGGAGAGGCAGGCGGAAUUCCGUGUGUAGCGGUGAAAUGCGUAGAUAUACGGAGGAACACCAGUGGCGAAGGCGGCCUGCUGGACAUUAACUGACGCUGAGGCGCGAAAGCGUGGGGAGCAAACAGGA